rnacentral:rRNA from 1 species
CGGGCACUUUCGGGUGUCAGCGGCGGACGGGUGAGUAACGCGUGGGAACGUGCUUCUGGUUCGGAAUAACUCAGGGAAACUUGAGCUAAUACCGGAUACGCCCUUUUGGGAAAGGUUUACUGCCGGAAGAUCGGCCCGCGUCUGAUUAGCUAGUUGGUGGGGUAAUGGCCUACCAAGGCGACGAUCAGUAGCUGGUCUGAGAGGAUGAUCAGCCACACUGGGACUGAGACACGGCCCAG